UUUUUUUUUUAUUUGAGAAUUUACUAGCAUCGCAUUGGCACUGUUUCCUUCUUUCCACCUGAAAAGUUUUGGAUUUUUUUAUUUUUUAUUUGUACCAGUUGUUCUUGUCCAGGGUCCCACCAUGAUCCUCAGUGCCCCCAUCUUGGUUUAUACUUGCUGUUUGUUGCUCGGUCCGGUCCGGACGGCAGCUGACGAGGGCGAUUACGGAGAAGAAAUGGUCCUCAGCCUUGCCCUGGAAGAAGAUGCCCAUGUCGAAACGGAGAAGAAGACAACUCCAGGGGUUUUCCUCUGGAGCAAUAAGGAUGCCUGGAGAUUGUCCGGCCAGUACGUGGUGGUUUUAAAAGAAAAUGUUCACAGGUCCCAGACAGAAAGAGUGAUCCAUCGGCUGCAGACCAGAGCGGCAAAACAUGGCUACCUGACAAAAAUUGUCUAUAUUUUCCAUGAACUGUUUCGAGGGUUUGUCAUAAAGAUGAGCGGUGAUCUCCUGGAGAUGGCCCUGAAGCUGCCACAUGUAGAUUACAUCGAGGAGGACGCCUAUGUAUUUGGCCAGAGUGUGCCCUGGAACCUGGACAGGAUUGUGCCCGCUCCGCAUGUAGCCAACCACUUCAACCCGCCAAACACAGGGGAGUCGGUGGAGGUGUAUCUCUUAGACACCAGUAUACAGAGCAACCAUAGGGAAAUUGAAGGGAAGGUUCACGUUACAGAAUUUGAGAAUGUUCCUGAGGAAGAUGGGACCAGGUUCUAUCGGCAGGCCAGUAAAUGUGAGAGCCAUGGCACCCACUUGGCUGGUGUACUGAAUGGAAGAGAUGCUGGUGUGGCUAAAGGUGUAAAUCUGCGCAGCCUACGAGUAUUGAACUGUCAGGGUAAAGGGACAGUGAGUGGAAGCCUGAUGGGUCUGGAGUAUAUAAAGAAAACACUGAAUGAGAAGCCAUACAGCCCCCUGAUUAUUCUCAUUCCCUUUGUUGGAGGGUACAGCCAAACACUCAAUAUGGCCAGUCGGAUGCUUAUUAAAUCUGGGGUUAUAAUCAUUGCCGCCGCUGGAAAUUACAAGGACGAUGCUUGUCUGUAUUCACCAGCUUCAGAACCAGAGGUUAUUACGGUUGGAGCCACCAACUAUGAAGACCAACCGGUAACAAUGGGAGCUCUUGGCACUAAUUUUGGCAAUUGUGUUGAUAUGUUUGCUCCUGGAGAUGAUAUCGUUGGUGCAUCCAGUGACUGCAGUACUUGCUUUACAUCCAAGAGCGGAACUUCUCAAGCAGCCGCACACGUGGCAGGUAUUGCAGCAAUGAUCCUGAACGGAAAGCCAGACCUAACGGUGACAGAACUGAGGCAGAGGCUCAUUCACUUUUCUACCAAGAACACUAUUAACGAAGCCUGGUUCCCUGACGACCAGCGGCUCAUCACCCCUAACAGGGUGGCUGGAUUACCUGCAAAACUCGUUAAUGAUGAGCAGCUUCUAUGUCGGACAGUUUGGUCAAAACCAUCUGGCUUUGCCCGUACAGCAACCGCCGUAGUGCAGUGCACCGGAAGUGAGGAAAUGUUCAGCUGCUCCAGUUUUUCUACAAAUGGCAAAAGAAAAGGGGAACGGGUGGAGGAUAAGGACGGUAAAAAAAUCUGCACCGCACACAAUGCCUUUGGUGGAGAAGGAGUCUAUGCGAUUGCUAGAUGUUGCGUUUGGCCAAAAGCAAGCUGCAGUGUUAAUGCCAGCUCCCCCGACGAUGCAAACACAAUGUCCGCUGCCGGUUGCACACAGGAGGACCAUGUUCUGACCGGUUGCAGUUCCCAUUCUCUAAGUGGCCAUUUCAGUGAUCAUGUGAGGCCCGUGCACAACACCGGAGACAGAGACCCUGCAUGCAUUGGGAAAAGUGAGAUCACCUCUCAUGCCUUGUGUUGUCAUGCUCCAAGCAUCUCCUGCAAAGUGAAGGAACAUUCUCCUGUGGGCUUCACAGAUAAGGUGACAGUGUCUUGUGACGAUGGCUGGACCCUGACUGGCUGUAACGCGUACUCCCGUGGAUCGAACAGCCUUGGCGCUUAUCCUGUUGAUAACACGUGUGUAAUUUUUAACCGAAAAGGUGGUAAAGGGGCGGCAGCCAUCGCUAUUUGUUGCAAGAAUGCAAAUACAGAAGACAGUCAGAACUCUAAUUAUAGGUGAAACCAUUUUGUGUCAGCAUUUUGUAUAUAACAUUUUUUUUUUAUACAACAGCUAUUUACAGUAGAGUCCAGUUUAUUCCAAACGUCUGCAAACUACAACUCUCAUGCAGGCUGUUUGGGAAUGAUGGGGAUUGUAGAUUCCCAACAGCUGGAAAGUCAUGGCUUGCAACCCAUCGGUUUAUAUCAUGAAUAUAUUUUUUUUUUAUUGUUCAUUUAUAUAGGAUGUGAAGCUUUCUUCAAUUGUUGAGAACGUUGCCCAUAAGCAACCAGAUAAUAAUGUAAUUGUAAAAGGCAAGGCUUGGAGACGAGUCAGUAUCUGCCGUCUUGUGAAAAUCACUUGUGGUGUUCCAGAGAAAAUAAUUUGGGGGCACGCUUAUUGGCGUUUUAGACGCAGGUUCCCUUUAAUGAACCCCUAAAGCUGGUGCCGGCCUCCACAUAGCUUCGGUGGAUCCUCCGCCAGUUCUAAAUGUAAGACAGCUCCCUUGCUGUCUUACAUUUAGACCUUUUUCUAUGGCUGAAACAGGCGUAGAAAAUGGUAAAUGAGACGGGCCUACUGGCGCAUUCCCUUCCCCUCGACACUCCCUUUUUUAUUCCUGGCAUGAGCAGGGAGAAGUUACAGAUUGCGGCUCAACUAGCUGUUGCGCCGCAAUCUGCACCUGAAAUACACCUAAUAUAGGCAUAUUUCAGUUUAAUAAAUGACCCCCUUUAUUAUUUAUGCAAAUUAGGGCUUCAGUGCACCAAGGGGAGGGGCCUAGCCCAUCAGUGCACCUCAGCUUUUCAGUGCUGGCUGCACCCCUCAUUUGCAUAAAGGUUAAAUGUCUUUUUUUUUUUUUUUGGAACACCACAAAAGAGAGCACUGUACAUAUUGCUGCCCUUACAAAAAGGGUUGCCCAUUAGGCACAUCACUAAAGAACCCCGUUUAUAAGGGCUCAUGCACACGGCUGUAGUUUUGGUCCGCAUCUGAUCCGCGUUUUUUGCGGACUAAAUGUGGACCCAUUCAGCUCAAUGGGGCCACAAAAAUGCGGACAGCACACAGCCUUAAGUCCGUUCCCCAGCCUCGCAAAAUAAUACAACAUCCUUGUCUGCAAAAUAGGCAAGAAUAGAACAUUUCUGCAGGAGUUAAAAAUAGAGUGCAUGGCAGCACGAAUUCUGCCUGUAUCCGCAAAUGUGUGGAUAGUAAAACACGGCCGUGUGCACGAGUCCUUAGCCAGAGCCUCACAUUUGGGGGGGUCACUGAUAUCUUUCCCUAUCAGUAUCAGCCCAUCCCAUGGUGAUCUGCCAGAAUGUGAUGCUCUCUUGUAACAGGAAUGUCGUUUUUUUGAUUUUGUACGUGGAUGUCAUGUAGACAGAUACAGGUGAAACUCGAAAAAUUAGAAUAUUGUGCAAAAGUUUAUUUAUUUCAGUAAUGCAACUUAAAAUUAGAAUUUUGUGAAAAGGUUCAAUAUUCUAGGCUCAAAGUGUCACCCUCUAGUC